UCGAGAAUUUUUCACAAUGGGCGCAAGCCUGAUGGAGCGACGCCGCGUGGGGGAUGAAGGUCUUCGGAUCGUAAACCCCUGUCAUUUGCGAACAAACCUCAUUCAAUAACACUGGAUGAGUUGAUUGUAGCGAAAGAGGAAGGGACGGCUAACUCUGUGCCAGCAGCCGCGGUAAUACAGAGGUCCCGAGCGUUGUUCGGAUUCACUGGGCGUAAAGGGUGCGUAGGUGGUGGGGUAAGUCUGGUGUGAAAGCUCGCAGCUCAACUGCGAAACGGCACUGGAAACUACCCUGCUGGAGGGUUGGAGGGGGGACUGGAAUACUUGGUGUAGCAGUGAAAUGCGUAGAUAUCAAGUGGAACACCAGUGGCGAAGGCGAGUCCCUGGACAACUCCUGACACUGAGGCACGAAAGCCAGGGGAGCAAACAG
rnacentral:rRNA from 1 species